rnacentral:rRNA from 1 species
AGUGGCGGACGGGUGAGUAACGCGUGAGAAUCUGGCUUCAGGAGGGGGACAACAGUUGGAAACGACUGCUAAUACCCCAUAUGUCUACGGAUGAAACGGUGAAUUCCGCCUGAAGAUGAGCUCGCGUCGGAUUAGCUAGUUGGUGAGGUAAAGGCUCACCAAGGCGACGAUCCGUAGCUGGUCUGAGAGGAUGAUCAGCCACACUGGGACUGAGACACGGCCCAGACUCCUACGGGAGGCAGCAGUGGGGAAUUUUCCGCAAUGGGCGAAAGCCUGACGGAGCAACGCCGCGUGCGGGAAGACGGCCUGUGGGUUGUAAACCGCUUUUCUCUGGGAAGAAUAAGUUGACGGUACCAGAGGAAUCAGCAUCGGCUAACUCCGUGCCAGCAGCCGCGGUAAUACGGAGGAUGCAAGCGUUAUCCGGAAUUAUUGGGCGUAAAGCGUCCGCAGGCGGCUUAUCAAGUCUGCUGUUAAAGGUCGGGGCUCAACUCCGGUUAGGCAGUGGAAACUGAUAGGCUAGAGUGUGGUAGGGGUAGAGGGAAUUCCCAGUGUAGCGGUGAAAUGCGUAGAUAUUGGGAAGAACACCAGUGGCGAAGGCGCUCUACUGGGCCACAACUGACGCUGAGGGACGAAAGCUAGGGGAGCGAAAGGGAUUAGAUACCCCUGUAGUCCUAGCUGUAAACGAUGGACACUAGGUGUU